rnacentral:tRNA from 1 species
GGUCGGGUAAUAUAGAGGUUAUUAUAUCCGCUUCACAGGUUCGAACCUGCAAGAAGUAAUUCUUCAAGUUUCGCUUGGAAACGCGGAAGGUCGCGAGUUCGAUCCUCGCCUCGAUCA